GGCGCAAGGGUGCGUAACACGUGGGCAAUCUGCCGUGAAGUUUGGGAUAAUCCCGCGAAAGCGGGACUAAUACCGGAUGUGACAAAUUGGGGGCAUCUCUGGUUUGUCAAAGUUGGGGACCGCAAGGCCUGACGCUUCACGAUGAGCCCGCGGCCUAUCAGCUAGUUGGCGGGGUAACGGCCCACCAAGGCGAAGACGGGUAGCUGGUCUGAGAGGACGACCAGCCACACUGGAACUGAGACACGGUCCAGACACCUACGGGUGGCAGCAGUCGAGAAUUUUUCACAAUGGGGGAAACCCUGAUGGAGCGACGCCGCGUGGGGGAUGAAUGGCUUCGGCCCGUAAACCCCUGUCAUUUGCGAGCAAAUCUUAUUAUUUAAAAGAUGAUAAGCUGAUAGUAGCGAAAGAGGAAGGGACGGCUAACUCUGUGCCGGCAGCCGCGGUAAUACAGAGGUCCCGAGCGUUGUUCGGAUUCACUGGGCGUAAAGGGUGCGUAGGUGGUGAGGUGUGUCGGAUGUGAAAUCUCGGAGCUCAACUCC
rnacentral:rRNA from 1 species